rnacentral:rRNA from 1 species
UACGGAGGGUGCAAACGUUGCUCGGAAUCAUUGGGCGUAAAGCGCACGUAGGCGGACUGCUAAGUCGGAUGUGAAAGCCCUCGGCUUAACCGAGGAAGUGCAUUCGAAACUGACAGUCUUGAGUAUGGAAGAGGGUCGCGGAAUUCCCGGUGUAGAGGUGAAACUCGUAGAUAUCUGGAGGAACACCGGUGGCGAAGGCGGCAUCCUGGACCGGUAUUGACGCUGAGGCGCGAAAGCCAGGGGAGCAAACGGG